GACGAACGCUGGCGGCGUGCUUAACACAUGCAAGUCGAGCGGGAUCCAACCGGUGGCAACACCGGGGAAGAUCUAGCGGCGAACGGGUGAGUAACACGUGAGCAACCUGCCCCGAAGACUGGGAUAACACCGGGAAACCGGUGCUAAUACCGGAUGUCGUCAUUAGGCCGCAUGACCUGAUGAUGAAAGGAUUCAUCGCUUCGGGAGGGGCUCGCGGGCUAUCAGCUUGNGGUGGGGUAACGGCCUACCAAGGCGACGACGGCUAGCUGGUCUGAGAGGACGACCAGCCACACUGGAACUGAGACACGGUCCAGACUCCUACGGGAGGCAGCAGUGGGGAAUUUUGGACAAUGGGCGAAAGCCUGAUCCAGCAAUGCCGCGUGCAGGAUGAAGGCC
rnacentral:rRNA from 1 species